CAGAGCUCAAAAACGACUGCACUCCAUUUGCUUGUGCAGAAAUCAAGGACACAUCGAGCACAGUUUGCAGGAUAAAAAGCAAAGCCUGCAGUUAUCCAGCGCCCGAUCCAACGGGUAACACUGAAUGCACUGCAAUGCUGUGAGCUCCUGUGGGGAUCUGCGCACACAGGAGGUGCUGCGGCUGCAGGGAGCGCCUGCAUUGCUUCUUGGCCAGGAAGGGCUCAUUUUGAGGGAGGGAAAUGCAAUUAAAGACAUGCAACAGCUCCGAGAAACGAGCAGCAGAGCUGAAUGCAGCAGCAGACCCAGCAUUCAGCAUUUGUUCAAUUAUGUGCUCUGCUCCUGUGCCCACACGGUGCUGUGCAGGGCCUCAUCCACCCAUUUGUCCCUAUAGAGAAGGGAUGUAAAGGAGGUGGCAGCUGUGGGCUACAGCCUCAAUGUCUGCCCAAUGCCCAGCCUGGCUCAGCAGUGAGCUCUGGGCAGGGUUUGAGCACGGAGCUGUGGGUGCCUGGAUGAGCUGUGAGGCACAACAUGAGCAAAGCCAUAGCAAAGAGCACUGCGAGCAGAGGAGUACAUUGGACUGAGAGUACCCACCUCUGCUGGGAUCCACACAACUUCAUCUCUCUGAGCAGCAGAGCCCCCAGUGUUGGACGGAUGGCCCCAAAACCUCUGAGGUGGUGGCACAGAUCCAUCAGCAUGUGGAACACAGGACCGCAGCGUGGGCUGGCAGCGCCAGGAUUGCACUCCGUGAGCAGCAGUGAUUAUUUCGGAUUUCUGCUAUAAAUAGCUGGGGCUCCGUGUGCCCUUUCAACCUUGGCUUUGGGGAGAGGUGAGGACUACAGAGGGAAAUCCCAGCAGCGGGACUGGCCCUGAUCUGCUGUGAAGUGAGUUCAUCUGACCUGCUCACCCCCGUGUGCCCUGCCCUGGUUUUAUUCAUGUAUGUAUUCAUUUCAUAGUAUCACAGCAUGCCAGCAUCAUAGAAUGGUUGGGUUGGAAGGGAUCCCAAAGCCCUCCCAGCCCCAAGCCUUGCUGUGGGCCGGUUGCCCCCUAGCAGAUCAGGUUGCCCAGGGCCCCCUCAGCCUGGCCUUGGGCACAUCCAGGGAUGUAUCCUAAAUCAAUGGGACAUCCCAUCAGCCAAUGGGCCAUCCAGUCAGCGGGGCUUCCAAUCAAUGGGACUUCUUCCUUCAAAAGGACCGCAGAACAUAUGGAAAGUCAUGGGGUUUUUCCUAAGGAUGAAGUUUAUAGAAGUGACUAUUAUGGCAUUGUUUUCAAGCUUAUUAGCUGUGUCAUACUGUUAUUGCCUCCAGUCAUUUUUGGUAGAAAACAAAUAAACAGCGAGUAUUUGUCAAUCUCAGUAAUAAACUAUAGUGGCAGCAAGCUUAAUCUGGUGUUAAUUAGGCUUGUGGAAAACUAAAUCAAGCACCAGAAACCACAGAUUAUUUUAGGCUUCCUCUAGCAUAAACACGAAGGCUUGAGGAUCCAUAACGUAUUAUUUUUGUUGACAGUUCCCCACUUUUCCCCCAAUUUAUUUCAUGUAUCCGAUAGGCUGCUCCUUGAUUGCUUUUAGUUCUGUCUUCUUUUGGCCUCAGCGUGGCAGUUUGUUAAUCCUUCCUAUUUUUGUGUAUUUAAGCAGGAUUACAGACUUCAAAUACGCUGUAAAAGGAACCCGUAUACAACCCUUCAAAAUCACUUAAGUGGGCCAAUGACAGAAGUACCAGCACUGCAAGUACAUACAGAGCACUGCGGAAAUCAUCCCCCGUGUUUAUUUAUGAGCCACUUUUAAUUAUUCAGCGGGAAUGAAUGAAAGAGGUGGAAAAUGGGAAGCGACAGAGGGCUUUGCAUUGAGUUACAGCUCGUGGAGAGCAAAGGGAGAGAUCACGGCGCUUUCAAGUCGGGAUGGUCGGAGGGUAUAAUUACACCCUGCUGCUUUAUGGGCCAAACCUCAGAGAAUUCAAUGGCAAACUGUGUUUCAGAGAGCGUGAGGAGCCCUCAGAAGGCUUCACACAGCACUGAGGAAGAGCAGAAUGCUUCACAUAGGCAGCAGCAGGCAGGGCAGAGCCCUGGGCUCAGCAAGGUCACCUGUCUGAAGGGGAGCUGCACGGACAGCAGUGCGAGUUCUGCUUGGCACGUCUGCAGGGAGCAGAUAUGGAGAAGGAGAAGUGCUGCGAUGCCACGUGGUUAGCUGAAAAGUGUUUUCUCUGCAGCUCCCACAGGAAAGGCCCAUGACUGAGAAAGAACAUGGUGUUCGUUCAUUGGGACAAGCUGAUCUUCAAGCUGAUUUGUGUUAAUUUGGAAAGUGAGAUCUUUUUGUUGUUGUUGUUGUUCCCCCUUUCUUUUUCCAGGAAAAAUGGAGCUGUCUGGUUUUGAUCACUUGGUGUGCUCAGCACCAAAGCCCUCAGAGUAAAUAUCUCCUAUGAAGGACAUUAAGGACCAACUCAUGGGGAGCAGCAGCAGGAAAACACUGCCAUAAACCCAAUACACAUCACGGUGCAUUCGUUUGUUACUUGGCACUGUAGCCGGGGCAGGGAAAACAUAGGAAGGCAUAGAGCAGAAUGGUGCCUCGGGGUGCUGAGUACAGCUGGGGUAGUGUGAUUAGCCCCAAGUGGCAGAGUCCUCCAUGCGCCCUGCAAGGCAGCUGAUGGCUCUGUGCUCCCUUUCCUGCUGGCUAUGGGAGGAAGGAGGGGAUGACCGGGCACGGUGCAAGCCAGCCUUGCUUUCCAUUAGAAUCCUAGAACCGUAGCCAAAGACAACAAAGAAAUAGAAAAAGAAAGACGAUGCACGGCAGCGUGCUGCUGCUGGAGGAAGGCCGAUAAGGCGGCAGCUGCUGCUCUUCCUCUGGGCUGCCCAGCAGAAAGCUGAAGGCAGCACCGCCCGGCUCCUCACCCCAGCGCCGGGGAACGGCUUUAAGGAGCCGUGAUGCUCAGCGGGCUGAUAGGCAGAGCGGACGGCAGACCUUCCAGCUUCCUUCUGCCUUCCGAGCACACUCUGCCCAUUGGGCCCCGCUGUAGUGUCACCUCGGGGAUCUCUGUGGUGUUAAAGCGAACUUCUGCACGAGAGCGAGCAACUCCCGUUUGCACCCCCGCCGGUAUUUCUUCCCCAGAAGUGAACUUGCUGCUCUUCGCCGCGAGAUGGAGCCUUCAGAUCGAGCUCUUUCCCUUAGGGUUGGUGGUUGUUUAAAGCAAUUAAGCCUCAUUUAGAGAUCGCACGUGUUUAGUUUUCUCAGAUUACUAUCUGUGGGUCUUUAUUAUUUUUUUUGUUAAUGAAUCAUAUUUUUCAUCAUCUCUCUCUCUUUUAUCUGAUACGAGGAAACUGCAAAGGCUGCCAGAAUGGGUGCUGCUCCAGCCCAGCUCUGCAGAGGAGGACAGUGAACAAUGCAGCUCUUCUUCUUGGAGAAGCACUUCUCACAGCAUCACAGAAUGGUUGGGUUGGAAGGGACCUCAAGGACCACGAAGCUCCAACCUCCCUGCUGCAGGCAGGGCCACCAACCUCCACAUUUCAUACCAGCCCAGGCUGCCCAGGGCCCCAUCCAACCUGGCCUUGAACACCUGCAGGGAUGGAUGGGGCAUCCACAGCCCCUCUGGCAGCUGUUCCAGCACCUCACCACUCUCAUAGUAAAGAACUUCCCCUCUGACAUCCAACCUAAAUCUUCCCUCCUUCAACGUUAAACCAUUUCCCCUUGUCCCGCUCGAUGCAUUGCUCGAUGCCACGCCACAGGGACAAAGCAGCUGCAGAAAGUGUGUGUUGUGCAAAAGCUGGGGCACGAGUGGGGGCUAAAAGGGACACCUGGAUGGCAGCAUGCUGUCCUUCUCUCUGUUCACCUUCUAGCUCAAUUCUACUUCUGAAAUCUGCCCCUGUUCCAUAUCCUACUGUUCUUCCUGAAGGGCAACGGAAAAGGAUGGCUCUGCUCUUUGGCACCAGCAGAGCUGCUCCUGCCCUGCCUGCUGUGCACCCAUCUGCCACGCUCCUCCCCGGCCUCUGCCCACAGCCACGUCCCCAAAUACCCCGAGAUCUCACUUCCCUUUGGUUUCACUGCCUUUCAGCCCCGAGGGACCAAACGUUUUGUUUUGCUCUGUGCGUUUCCACGUUCAUCUUUCGUCUCCUGUUUGAAGCUAUUGUGAAGAAGCUGCGAAAAGCAAUGUGGCCCUGGUGCUCCUCUGACAGCACUCGGGCUCUGGAGAGGUGUCUGAAAGCUGACAGCAGAGCUCUGUGCUGCUGGGAGGAACCACCUCCUGCGUUUGGGCACCCCACUCUGUGGGGAUUGGGGCCAGGACGGGUUGGAGCAGAACCCCAAAGUCUGAAUGCAAUUCAGUGUUUGCCAGAAGGCAGGGACUGAUAAGGCCUGCUGGGCUCUCAGUGCACCGCUUUAGGCACAUAGUGACAAGGAAAAGGUUCAGCUCAGUGAGGAGCAGGCAGUGGCCACUGCUCUGCUGCCUCUGCCCUGUGUGGGCAGCCCUGCCCCGUGAAGCCCUUCCCUUCCCAGACUUAAAACCAACGCCCUCCUGAGUGCCUUCCUGUACCAGCUCCUUUCUGCUCUCUCUCUCUCUCUAUUUUCUGGGGUCACAGCAAAGAGCAGCACUGGGGCAGCACCCAUGGGACCAUAAUGUGUUUGUAGCACACGGACAGACACACGCAGAGCAUUGCUGCUGAGUUCACUGCAGGUCCUCUGGUGCUGCUGUCAAACCUUCAUUUUCAGGUGUUGGAAAUCAUUUGUUUCCCUUCAUCUGUUUUCUGUCCGCAGAUGGUGCUUCCUCUGUAGGUGAUGGACUCGAGGUGACAGUGAUGGCUCAGUGCUUCCUCAUAUAAGCAGAGCUCCAGAACCACCCUCAGCACAGUGCUGCGCAAUGGCUGCAAUGCUUCGCAGAGGAUCAGUGUGUGUAUGUAAAUGGCGGAAUGUUCUCAAGCAGCACUGGAUUUUGCAUUUUAGCAAGGAUUUCCUUCCCAACUCCUCCUUCCUCAGUGCUGCUCAGUACCUCUUUCCCACUCCUGCCCCUUGUUCUUCCCUGCCCAGCUCUUUGCCCUGCACAGCACGUUCCAGCCCCUCCUUUCUUGCUGAUCUCUGUGAUUAAAAGGUGGUGAGCAACACGGUUAUGAAAGCAAUGAUCUGUGCUGUAUCUUCAGAGGAAUGUCCACCUGCACUGUCUGCAGGAUGGAAACCAGCAGGGAGGCUGCUCCUUACCCUUCUGGCGCAAUGAUUGAACAGAUACUGCCCUCAGUUAAUAACAAUUCCCAAUAACUCUUGAAAUGAAGCAGACACAGCUCUGCUAAUUAAGGUGAAAAAGCAGCUCAUCCAAAUAACUUUCCUCAGAAAGCACGUCCAAUGACACUUCUAUCUGUUACGCUGUGUGUAGUUAUCCCCAGUAGGUUAUACAGGAUGCAAGUGGGAGAAUUUCUGAUGCUCUCAUUAAUUUCGGUGGCAACUUUCUGUACUGGGAAUCAUCAUCCACCUCCACCCAUUGGAAGCAGUUGAAUUUCAGGAAGGUGGCAGUGCACACAUGGCACAGGGUUAAAUUUGGGUUAAAGACAGCAUCAUCUCCAGGCCUCUGGCAAAUGAGGCGGAGUAAGCAGGACACAGCAGGGGAGAUCAGGUCCUUCACAAAUGGGAAUAUUCACUUGGGAAGAAGUAGGAGAAAAUAACCUAGAAAUAAGGUCACUGGUCUCCAGACAGCCCCAUGGGAAAGCCAAGUAGUGCUGAGAGUAAUUUUCCUGCUUAGUGUGGCAGGCGUGUGGGCACACAUCAUAUGGAAGUGAGAGCAAUACAGGCUUUGGACAAUACUAGAAACCCCAAGAGACCACGAAGAGCCCUUAACCCUUUGGGUAAACGGUCCCAUGUGAACACCCAGCACAUUAACUUAUUGUUGCACGAGGCUGGGAAAUGGUUUGGAUCUUAGUUUAUGUGAGCAUUACCAAAGAAUAAAACAUUGCAACAUAUCUGUCAGGAACUGUAUUUCUCUGUGCUACAAUCCUUGAAGAAGAGGAAGUAAACACACUGCUGGCUCUGCACGACUCUUCCUGUAGGGCAACUGCAUUGUCAUCCCCAGGAAAUGCAACACCAAGCCCUGAAAUGAUCUGCACUGUAAAGGGCUGCUACAAUUCUGAGAGCUGUUAAAUUGCAGAGGAACAGAGCUGUGUUUGAUUGGGCAGAACGGUCAGGUUCCUGGGAACCCUUCAUCCUCAGCUGUAUGGUGGAAGAAGAGUGGGGAGUCAGAAACAGGGCAUGGGGAACGUGGCCUCCUCCACAUCACUGCAGCCGGGUGAGAUGAGGUUAUGGAGGAAAAGGCCAUGGUGUCACGGAGCAGAGCCACAGUUCCCCCCUGUCCCAAAGCUGUUCCCACCACUCCCCAGGGCUCUGCCUGAGCUUGAAUCUCAACACUGGUUGGGGUGUGAAUGUCCCAGUCAGACCAUAGGGAACUGUGGCUUUGUCGGUUUGUAGGUUUGGGUCUGUUGGUUGGUUUGGGUUUAUUUGUGGUGGCGUUGUCACUGUUUUGCAUUACUGAGUGCAUGAACCAGAAACUCAGAGUGUUUUACUCAGUCACCUGGGGAUUACAGCAGAUUCCAGGCUGACCAUGAGCCAAUAGCAUGCUUUUGUCUCAGACAGAGAAAACCACACGUUGGCUUACAGUAGGAUGAGGGAAACCAUUACUGCCUUCUACUCUGUGAGGCCUUUCAUUCAGCUUUGCUGCAGCUGCUGCUGGGCCAAGGACAUCAAGACACCACGUGUGGGGCCAGGAAGAAGAAAUGUGUGCAAUGGACACCUACUGUGGCUUGGGAAACCCAACUGAACAUUAGGAAUAUAAAGAUCAGUAGGGAGGUUUGGCGGUGGGUUGAGUAGUAUGGUUAGGUGGAGGUUGCAUGGUCUUGAAGGUCUCUUCCAACCUGAGCAAUUUGAUGAUCCGAUGAUAAGGCGGUGUAGUACUGGAACAGGUCACUGAGGCCAGUUGGAGACUCCCCAUCCUUAGGGAUUUUCAAGACUCAGCUGCACAAAACCCCACUGAACACUGAUGGAAGCUCUUCCUUGGGUGGGAGGUUGGACGAGACGCCCAACAGAAUUCCUCUCCACCAAACAUUUCCAUAUUUCUAUGACCUUAAAUUCAGGCAAAUGCACGUGCCCUUAGCACAAGUGUGUAAGAUUUUGAUGUAUUUCUAACUGCUUUCAGAUCCGGGGAGUUUCACACGAAAGUGCAACAGAAAAAAGUGUGCAGCUUUAAAGCAUUUCUUAAUCCCACCCCUUUAGAAUCUGAGUGCUGUUUACUCUGCUGUCUGCUGGAGAUCCAACACGUUCAAAAAUAGCAUGGCAUGGGGUCCCAUCAAAGCCUUCUAACAUCACCAGGUGUCUCCUCAGCAUGAAAACAAAUUCUUUGAAGAGAUUGCUUGGAAGAGGAAAAUAAAGUACCGCAAGUGAGCUCCUGUGCUGUGAUGUGGUAUCGGAUGUACAGAAAACAUCUGCAGUAAAACUCGUCUGCAAAAGUGAGGCAGGCAGAUUUCCCCUCUGUGUACAUGAAGAG
ensembl:lncRNA